CUGGAAGCCUGGCUGGCUGUGAGACGGUUUCUGUCGCCGCAGCCUGUGUGUACCUUGUGCUGCACGAAAGAGCAGAUCUCUAAGGCACAGGUGUGAGACCCAGGCUUCACCAGUCAGACCCACUUGUGUGAAACUUCCAUUUGGACAUUAGAGAAAGGAUGAACUGUAUGGAUCCAUUUUGCUAGUGCACGUGGAAGCAGAGCCAUUCGGCUUUUGAAGGUUCCUACCACCCAGCACGGGGCCUUGCACACAGUAGGUGCUUGCUGCAUGUGUGCUGCAUGAAUGAAGGAAUCGAAUACACCUGUGCCAGAGGACUUGGCCCUCUGUGGGAUUUCGGGGCUCCCUCUGAGGAAUGAGCCUGCGGUGCUGCUGACCAAGUGCUUACAAGGCCAUGGGCAGUUCCAGGAACUGGCAUCAGCAGGUGGAUUUAAGUGCCAAAGCUGCCAUCGGAUCUCCACGACGAGGUCAACAGAGCACCACGGAAGCACUCCAAUGGGAGCGCGAGAGUGCUAUUCCCCAAAAUUAGACAUACCUGGUUGGCAUUUCUACAGAAGACCUCAACUCACUUGGGAAAUGGCUUUGGACAUGAGACUUUCCAGAAGGGAAAGCUUUUCCUUGGCAGAGACGUGACUCUAAUUGCAGGGACAGCUUGUCACCAUUGGUGGUUUUUUUCAGGACUCUGUAGUGGCAGCCAGAUGUCCCAUCCAUAGGUGGAUUUUUUUUUCUGGCCUGCUUUUAUCAACAGACCUCAGGGCAACCAAGUGUCCAGAUGGCCAGAUUGCAAGACUUUUUGAUGAUAAUGUCUCCUGGUUGGGACACGACCGAAACACGUUUCUAAAUAGGAUACAGAGACCCUCAGGAAAAGCUGACCCCAGAGACAUGGAACAUGUCUCUUGGCUG